GAUGAACGCUGGCGGCGUGCCUAAUACAUGCAAGUCGAGCGAACAGACGAGGAGCUUGCUCCUCUGACGUUAGCGGUGGACGGGUGAGUAACACGUGGAUAACCUACCUAUAAGACUGGGAUAACUUCGGGAAACCGGAGCUAAUACCGGAUAACAUGUUGAACCGCAUGGUUCAACAGUGAAAGACGGUCUUGCUGUCACUUAUAGAUGGAUCCGCGCCGCAUUAGCUAGUUGGUAAGGUAACGGCUUACCAAGGCAACGAUGCGUAGCCGACCUGAGAGGGUGAUCGGCCACACUGGAACUGAGACACGGUCCAGACUCCUACGGGAGGGAGCAGUAGGGAAUCUUCCGCAAUGGGCGAAAGCCUGACGGAGCAACGCCGCGUGAGUGAAGAAGGUCUUCGGAUCGUAAAACUCUGUUAUUAGGGAAGAACAAAUGUGUAAGUAACUAUGCACGUCUUGACGGUACCUAAUCAGAAAGCCACGGCUAACUACGUG
rnacentral:rRNA from 1 species